rnacentral:sRNA from 1 species
UUGCGCAAGUAAUGCUUUGCUGAGCAAUAUUAGCAAUCCUUGGUCGCGCCCUGGCGGUUAAGCUUCUCCCCAGUUUCAUGGCCCGGACGUUGAUGUCCACCCGCGGCGCCCAAUCAGGUGCCGCGGCGCCGGCGGUCCUACCGGAUCGCGCAGGCUCCCGGGUCCGCACCGCCCAACCAGGCGGGCGAGGAAAGCAGCGCCACGAACGCUAGUGCCGGACAAGAAAAAGGGGAGGCCACGGGCCUCCCC